rnacentral:rRNA from 1 species
GCAGGGGAGAGUUUGAUCCUGGCUCAGAUUGAACGCUGGCGGCAGGCCUAACACAUGCAAGUCGAGCGGAUGAAGGGAGCUUGCUCCUGGAUUCAGCGGCGGACGGGUGAGUAAUGCCUAGGAAUCUGCCUGGUAGUGGGGGAUAACGUCCGGAAACGGGCGCUAAUACCGCAUACGUCCUGAGGGAGAAAGUGGGGGAUCUUCGGACCUCACGCUAUCAGAUGAGCCUAGGUCGGAUUAGCUAGUUGGUGGGGUAAAGGCCUACCAAGGCGACGAUCCGUAACUGGUCUGAGAGGAUGAUCAGUCACACUGGAACUGAGACACGGUCCAGACUCCUACGGGAGGCAGCAGUGGGGAAUAUUGGACAAUGGGCGAAAGCCUGAUCCAGCCAUGCCGCGUG